CCGGCGAGGAGGUGCCGGAGCCGGGGGACGGGGUGCCGGAGGAGCCCAGGGCAGAGCCGGCUCCCUCCGGCGCCGGGCGACUCCCCGCCCGGGACUCCUCGUACGCCUUCCGAAACAGCAACAUCCAGAGUAGGAGCAUUCCCCCCGGCAGGCAGCACAGCUCUCCUCCGCAAGUGAGGCGAAGCAUCCAAGGUAGCUUUAGGAAGGUGAAGGAGGAGCGGGAGCCGAGGUCGCCCUAGCAGGGACGCCUUCUGCCCCCGCUACCGCGGCAACUUGUUUCCUUCGCCAAGGUUUGUAACUGAGUUAAAAGAAAUCCUCCAAAAAUAUCGGGAUCCAGGCUCUGGGAGGAGCCUCCGCGUCCCUCGCAGCCAAUAUCCUCCUGCCCAUUUGGGCCUGACAGUUUUGCAAGGAAAGGGAAGAGAAGGGAAGAGCCGGGCGGCAGAGCCCUGUGCGCUCACCGGUCAGCGGCGGAGCUGCCGGGCCGGCGGCUGCGAGCAGACUGCCAGAGCCUCACCGCAGAUCUGCGCGAUGCCUCGGCUGCCAGGAGGGUCCAUUUUAUUUUGCAGUAUUUCUUGAUUGACGUCUGUGAUUUCCCCCCUCUUCUUGAAAAGGGCGGGCGGGCGGAGGGGGGAACCUUGUUGCUUCCACCGCAGUUAUUGGUUAGUUGCCUCUAUUCAGGGCUUUAAUGAACAUGAUUCACAAGUGUUCCCAAUCCUCCCUAAAUAACUAGGAAAGAAAAGCAAGCUGUUUUUAUGACAGUCACUGGCAUCUCUUUUCUGUGUUGUAAUUUUAUGUGUAUUAAUUUAACUUGCAGUCAAGGGCAUAAUAAAUUGGUCUCUUAACAAUGAAA